GUGCUUGUUUUGGCAGCACAUAUACUAAAGAUCGGAAGGAUACAGAGAUUAACAUAGCCCCUGUGCCAGGAUGACAUGCAAAUUCAUGAAACGUUCCAUAUUUUU